UGGCUUCGGCUGCUCUGAAAGUGGCGAACGGGUGAGUAACACGUAGGUGACCUGCCUCGAAGUGGGGGAUAACCACUGGAAACGGUGGCUAAUACCGCAUGGUCCUGUUGGUGCGGGAGCACUGAUGGGUAAAGGGUUUACUGCUUCGAGAGGGGCCUGCGUCCGAUUAGUUAGUUGGUGAGGUAACGGCUCACCAAGACGAUGAUCGGUAGCUGGUCUGAGAGGAUGAUCAGUCACACGGGAACUGAGACACGGUCCCGACUCCUACGGGGGGCAGCAGUGAGGAAUAUUGCACAAUGGACGCAAGUCUGAUGCAGCAACGCCGCGUGGAGGAUGAAGGUCUUUGGA
rnacentral:rRNA from 1 species